GGGGGCGUGGCGAAAUUGGUAGACGCACUGGAUUUAGGUUCCAGCGCCGCAAGGUGUAAGAGUUCGAGUCUCUUUGCCCCCACCA
rnacentral:tRNA from 1 species